CCACACUGGAAGGAGCCAUUCCCAUGGUAGCACUUGGAACUGUUGGCUUCUACUUCUCCCUGGCAGGCGCAGUCACAUUCUGCACUGACGAGUAUUUCCAGGGUGUCCCCCAGCCCCACAGGCUUUAUGCAGAGAGGAGUUCAAUCAUGCCUCCGAGUCCUUUCAGUUGUAUUCAAGUUUUGCUGGAGGCCACACGUCUGCAGAGCAUCAUUCUGAACCAGCCUCAGUUUGGGGUCAGGACCUUGAUUUUUCUACCUGCUGCUCCAUUUGGGAAGAUGAACCCAGCCCUUAACUGACGGAGCCAUCUCCAUAACCUCAGAUGGGAAGUCUUCUGAAGUACCUGCUAUUCGUCCUGGCCUUCUUAAGUAGACUCUCAAGAAUACACUGGAGUUGUUUUUGUUUGUUUGUUUGUUUGUUUUUUAAAGAAAGAAAGUUAUACUUUCAAUAUUAACUACAAUUCUACAACCAUCAAACUCUUCCACAUUCCACAGAGAAGUCAAUCAUGGUAGAAAACAGCUGGAAUGUUGUGACUCUGGGGAGGCCAAGGUGGGAGUUUUGUGAAGUCAGCCUGGCCUACACAGCACGUUUCUGGACAGCUUGGUACAGAGAUAGCAAGACAGUUCCAAACAGAAUAAAACAAAAAUUAAGGAAAGAAAUGUAAAAGUAGGAAACAAAUGGAGGAAAGAAUGAAGGGAAAGAAAGACACACAAUCACUGUCACACCGAGGGGAUCAUAGCUGUACUGCUCUCUGUCCUUGUAGCUGCGUUAAAGCCGUUUCUACCGUCUCCUUAUUAAUUCCUCAGUUUCACCCAGACACUCAUUUAAAUCUGGACUCAGUGUGUAUUAAGUAGCCAUCCGAUGCUAGACUCUAACAAGAGGAGACUCCUGUCAGCUGUGGUUUCCUACAUUUCUGUAUCAUGAAAUCAGAUGAUGGAGUGAAAAUUCUGUGUAGAAAAGCAUAAACAAACAUCAGGUUAUACAUUUAGGGCAUCUCUUAUUGGAAAGAAGAGGAAACGUUGGCAUCCUGUCUGUGUUGGAUUGUUUUAUGCCAACUUGGUGCAAGCUAAAGUCAUCCUCGAGGAGGGAACCUCAAUUAAGAAGAUGCCUCUAGAAGACUGGGCUGUUGGCAAGCCUGAAGGUCAUUUUCUCAAUCAGUGAUUGAUGGAUGAGGGCCCAGCUCAUUGUGAGUGGUGCCCGCCCCUGGCUGGUGAUCCUGGGUUCUAUAAGAAAGCAGGCUGAGCAAGCCACGAGGAACAAGCCAAUAAGUAGCAUUCCUCCAUGGUCUCUG